AAUAGAUUUUAUGAUAUAUUAAAAAUUGAUGAUUCAUAUGUGCCAAUGAACUUAGUGAAGGUACUUUUAGAUUCUUAUUCAUUUAAAGAUGAAGUCUUUGUAUGUAAUGGUUUAAAACUUUUCAUAACUUUAGAGGACGUCUUGUUCAUAACUGGGCUUCCCGUAGAGGGAAAGCUAAUUGCUAAUGCAUCAAAAAGUAGGACAGCUUUUAAGGAUGUUUUUGAGCUGCCAUUCGAAGCGACUAUCUGUACAAUUGAAACAAUUAAAGACAUCGUGUUAAAUGUUAACAAAUCAAGAGCUUAUCGGAUGAAGGCAUUGUGGCUAAUCCUGAUAACCUGCUUUAUUGUUCCAACUGGGGAUGGUCACCGGGUGAAGGCUGAUCUUGUAGCUUACGUGAAUGAUGUGACUGCGGUUACAUCCUAUGCCUGGG
rnacentral:lncRNA from 1 species